CUGUGAUGAAUUAUCCUGGUGCGAGUGAGAGUGACAGAAAACAGAAACAGGGAAACAGCUGCAAGAAGAUGAACUGCAAACAGUCAUGAUAUGGCCGAUGCUGGGUGGAAAUGAAAAGGGGUGGAGAAAGAAGGUUCUAGAACUAGACCCACUCAUUUCGCAUCCGAGUAAAAUACACUUUUGUUCGGCUGCCACUGAGCGGAUACCUGACACAGCGACUGUAAGGAUGCCUGAUGAUGAUGAUGAUGGUGGGUCGAGAACAGGAGAGAGUUUUUUUGAUUCAACUCUACGUAGGUGGAAUAAUGUAGUUAAAUGUCUAAAGAUGCUUCGUCUGAUAUAUAAGGUCUUUACAAAUAUCUACGAUAUUGUUGAGAAUAUAAACAACGCUGUACAACUGUUGAAUGAAGUGGUAAGAGCGAAAGAAAUAGUCAGACAGACGUGUCUGCGCUGGUACAAGUGGAAAAAUGAUAUCGAGGGCACCGGAUAAAAAACAAAAAACAAAAACAUGGGACGCAUGAAGGAAAACUCCUACAAAUGUUUAAUCGAGGACCACAGUGAAGACGGAGUGGUGACAACCCCUUCUCAACACCGGUUUCUCAACAUAAUUUGUGUAAUAUAUAUAUAUAUAUGUAAUAUAUGAUUGUAAAAAAUAAACAAAUCAGUAAUCAUCUU